rnacentral:rRNA from 1 species
AUUGAACGCUGGCGGCAUGCUUAACACAUUCAAGUCGGGCGAGUGGCGGACGGGUGAGUCAUGUCUGGGGCUCUGCCUGAUGGAGGGGGCUAACUACUGGAAACGGUAGAUAAUACCGCAUACCCUCAGAUGAACCCCUAUGGGAUUAGGUUGUAGGUGAGGUAACGGCUCACCUAGUCGACGAUCUCUAGCUGGUCUGAGAGGAUGAUCAGCCACACGGGGACUGAGACACGGAGCAGACUCCUACGGGAGGCAGCAGUGGGGAAUAUUGCGCAAUGGGCGCAAGCCUGAUGCAGCCAUGCCGCGUGUAUGAAGAAGGCCUUCGGGUUGUAAAGUACUGUCGGUAGCGAGGCGUUACCGACAGAAGAAGCACCGGCUAACUCCGUGCCAGCAGCCGCGGUAAUAC